UUUUUUUUUUAAAUUUGCAUGUCAAAUAUAAAAUAAAAAAUCAUUUGCAAUGAAUUCGUAACAAUAUAAUCCUAAUAUCCUAUUGCAGGUUGUAUUUCCUGGCUCUUCUGUCGAGCAGUCAGCCAGGAUCCCAGGCUAUCAUUUUACUCUAAAAAUGACCAAAUACAUACUCCUUUGGCCAAACCCCAAAUAAUGUGCAAAUAUUUUCGUGGAGAAAUAAAAUUAAAGAACCUUAGUGAGCGCGCUCACAUCAUGGCCCCACGUCCCCAC
rnacentral:lncRNA from 1 species